rnacentral:rRNA from 1 species
GUGGUAAUGCCGGAUGUUCCACAUGAUCGCAUGUGAUUGUGGGAAAGAUUCUAUCGGCGUGGGAUGGGGUCGCGUCCUAUCAGCUUGUUGGUGAGGUAACGGCUCACCAAGGCUUCGACGGGUAGCCGGCCUGAGAGGGCGACCGGCCACAUUGGGACUGAGAUACGGCCCAGACUCCUACGGGAGGCAGCAGUGGGGAAUAUUGCACAAUGGGCGCAAGCCUGAUGCAGCGACGCCGCGUGAGGGAUGGAGGCCUUCGGGUUGUAAACCUCUUUUGUUUGGGAGCAAGCCUUCGGGUGAGUGUACCUUUCGAAUAAGCGCCGGCUAACUACGUGCCAGCAGCCGCGGUAAUACGUAGGGCGCAAGCGUUAUCCGGAUUUAUUGGGCGUAAAGGGCUCGUAGGCGGCUCGUCGCGUCCGGUGUGAAAGUCCAUCGCUUAACGGUGGAUCUGCGCCGGGUACGGGCGGGCUGGAGUGCGGUAGGGGAGACUGGAAUUCCCGGUGUAACGGUGGAAUGUGUAGAUAUCGGAAAAGAAACACC